rnacentral:rRNA from 1 species
AGGGUUCGAUUCUGGCUCAGGAUGAACGCUGGCGGCGUGCCUAACACAUGCAAGUCGAACGGGUUAAGGGAAAUUUCGGAUGGACCUUAACUAGUGGCGGACGGGUGAGUAACGCGUGGAUAACCUGCCUCACACUGGGGGAUAGCAGCUGGAAACGGCUGGUAAUACCGCAUAAGACCACGGCACCGCAUGGUGCAGGGGUAAAAGAUUUAUCGGUGUGAGAUGGAUCCGCGUCUGAUUAGCCAGUUGGCGGGUAACGGCCACCAAAGCGACGAUCAGUAGCCGGCCUGAGAGGGUGAACGGCCACAUUGGGACUGAGACACGGCCCAAACUCCUACGGGAGGCAGCAGUGGGGAAUAUUGCACAAUGGGCGCAAGCCUGAUGCAGCAACGCCCGCGUGAGUGAAGAAGUAUUUCGGUAUGUAAAGCUCUAUCGGCAGGGAAGAAAGGCCCUUAACAGGGAGAUGACGGUACCUGACUAAGAAGCCCCGGCUAACUACGUGCCAGCAGCCGC